GUCCAUGCCGUAAACGAUGUCUACUAGCCGUUGGGGCCUUUGAGGCUUUAGUGGCGCAGCUAACGCGAUAAGUAGACCGCCUGGGGAGUACGGUCGCAAGACUAAAAACUCAAAAUGAAUUGACGGGGGCCCGCACAAGCGGUGGAGCAUGUGGUUUAAUUCGAUGCAACGCGAAGAACCUUACCUGGUCUUGACAUAGUAAGAACUUUCCAGAGAUGGAUUGGUGCCUUCUGGAGCUUACAUACAGGUGCUGCAUGGCUGUCGU
rnacentral:rRNA from 1 species